CUCACGUACGCUGUCCCGAGAA
rnacentral:miRNA from 1 species